CAAGAACUUGAUCGUAGCUAGUUAUUUUUAGUAGUAGUUUAAGUUAAUAUUUUUCAAAGUUACUUUUAUGUAAAGUGCAUCAAAGAUGAGUGCAUAUUUUUUCUGCUUGAGUAGCUAGGAUUGGAUUUUUUCCAACUUAGAGUUUAUCAAAAGACAGAAAAGAAAAGAAAGAAAUAAAGUGCAUGACAAGUCAUAUAUUUAAAAUACUUUUCAUUAUGAUCUAAUGUUCUUAGUAUUUAAUUCUAAAGAUAUUCUUGGGUAAUAAUAACUGGAGGAUCAGAAGAAAACCAGCACUAUGCAAAUGUUUUUAGCUUUUAGGCAGGCUGUUAAAGAAAUAGAUUGUGGGGUAGCUGAAGUUGUAGUUGCAGAGGUUUUCAAAGCAUUUAGUGAAGAAAAUACUAGUUUCUUAUGUUUCCUACAUCUCAUUUGUGAGUGAGACUAUCAGAACUAGCAAUGAUGGGAAGAGCAUAUAUGGGAUAUUUCUGACUGUCUCAUGUGAAGCCUUAGAAAUUUGUAGUGAUUGUCACGCAUCUGUUUUUGAUGUACAGGUUCAAGGAUUAUGUUGUGCUAGGUGGGAGGAGUGUUCUUCAUCAGUGACUUGGACUGUUUCAAGCAUUUUUAUGUGCACAGGAAUUAAGAUGGAUGAAAUGUUUCAUUGGUCAUAGCAGCAGCAGAAUAAGGUUUGGAGACAAGAACAAGUUCUGCAUGCACAUCCCUCCAACUUUAAAAGAAGAGCAGACUUUAAAAACAAG
rnacentral:lncRNA from 1 species